rnacentral:rRNA from 1 species
GAUGAACGCUGGCGGCGUGCCUAAUACAUGCAAGUCGAGCGAACAGAUGAGGAGCUUGCUCCUCUGACGUUAGCGGCGGACGGGUGAGUAACACGUGGAUAACCUACCUAUAAGACUGGGAUAACUUCGGGAAACCGGAGCUAAUACCGGAUAAUAUAUUGAACCGCAUGGUUCAAUAGUGAAAGACGGUUUUGCUGUCACUUAUAGAUGGAUCCGCGCCGCAUUAGCUAGUUGGUAAGGUAACGGCUUACCAAGGCAACGAUGCGUAGCCGACCUGAGAGGGUGAUCGGCCACACUGGAACUGAGACACGGUCCAGACUCCUACGGGAGGCAGCAGUAGGGAAUCUUCUGCAAUGGGCGAAAGCCUGACGGAGCAACGCCGCGUGAGUGAUGAAGGUCUUCGGAUCGUAAAACUCUGUUAUUAGGGAAGAACAAAUGUGUAAGUAACUAUGCACGUCUUGACGGUACCUAAUCAGAAAGCCACGGCUAACUACGU